rnacentral:ncRNA from 1 species
GAUCCAGCCAUGCCGCGUGUGUGAAGAAGGUCUUCGGAUUGUAAAGCACUUUAAGUUGGGAGGAAGGGCAGCUAAUUAAUACUUCGCUGUUUUGACGUUACCGACAGAAUAAGCACCGGCUAACUCUGUGCCAGCAGCCGCGGUAAUACAGAGGGUGCAAGCGUUAAUCGGAAUUACUGGGCGUAAAGCGCGCGUAGGUGGUUUGUUAAGUUGAAUGUGAAAUCCCCGGGCUCAAACCUGGGAACUGCAUCCAAAACUGGCAAGCUAGAGUAGGGCAGAGGGUGGUGGAAUUUCCUGUGUAGCGGUGAAAUGCGUAGAUAUAGGAAGGAACACCAGUGGCGAAGGCGACCACCUGGGCUCAUACUGACACUGAGGUGCGAAAGGUGGGGAGCAAACAGGAUUAGAUACCCUGGUAGUCCACGCCGUAAACGAUGUCAACUAGCCGUUGGAAGCCUUGAGCUUUUAGUGGCGCAGCUAACGCAUUAAGUUGACCGCCUGGGGAGUACGGCCGCAAGGUUAAAACUCAAAUGAAUUGACGGGGGCCCGCACAAGCGGUGGAGCAUGUGGUUUAAUUCGAAGCAACGCGAAGAACCUUACCAGGCCUUGACAUCCAAUGAACUUUCCAGAGAUGGAUUGGUGCCUUCGGGAACAUUGAGACAGGUGCUGCAUGGCUGUCGUCAGCUCGUGUCGUGAGAUGUUGGGUUAAGUCCCGUAACGAGCGCAACCCUUGUCCUUAGUUACCAGCACGUUAAGGUGGGCACUCUAAGGAGACUGCCGGUGACAAACCGGAGGAAGGUGGGGGAUGACGUCAAGUCAUCAUGGCCCUUACGGCCUGGGCUACACACGUGCUACAAUGGUCGGUACAGAGGGUUGCCAAGCCGCGAGGUGGAGCUAAUCCCAGAAAACCGAUCGUAGUCCGGAUCGCAGUCUGCAACUCGACUGCGUGAAGUCGGAAUCGCUAGUAAUCGCGAAUCAGAAUGUCGCGGUGAAUACGUUCCCGGGCCUUGUACACACCGCCCGUCACACCAUGGGAGUGGGUUGCACCAGAAGUAGCUAGUCUAACCUUCGGGAGGACGGUUACCACGGUGUGAUUCAUGACUGGGGUGAAGUCGUAACAAGGUAGCCGUAGGGGAACCUGCGGCUGGAUCACCUCCUUA